UACGUAGGUGGCAAGCGUUACUCGGAAUCACUAGGCGUAAAGCGCAGGUAGGCGGUUUGAUAAGUCUGUUGUGAAAGCUCCCGGCUUAACUGGGAGAGGUCAACGGAAACUAUUAGGCUAGAGUGUGGUAGAGGUAGCUGGAAUUCCCGGUGUAGCGGGUGAAAUGCGUAGAUAUCGGGAGGAACACCAGUGGCGAAGGCGAAGUCCCUGGACAACACCUGACACUGAGGCACGAAAGCUAGGGAGCGAACAGGAGUAGAAACCCAUCAUAUGAACGUC
rnacentral:rRNA from 1 species